AGGACACUCUGCUCACCUGAAUUCUGUUUACACACACACAAACACACACAGAAAAUAAAUCACUUCAAAACAAAGGAAAGCAGGAGUAACACGUCUCCUGGAGGUAAGAAGAGAGAGAAGUUCUGGAGUGCAGCACUGGGGGAACCAGCAGAAUGCAGACCAGCUCAAAAUGCUGCUACUGGGGCCAGAGGCAAUGAAGUGGGACAGAAAAAGCCCUGGCUCUGGGCACAGAGGCCGCGCAGGAUUCAUCAGCAUAGAGAAAAAGUUGACUGCUAUUUCUCCCAGCUGGAACUUCUGACCACUAAGAAGCACAGGGUGAACUUUCUGUGUAACUUCACGGAAGGAGGAUUCUUCCUGAAUAGUGCCUGGAGAAAAGGCUUUGUGGACCCUCUCCAGAAUAAGCUCUUCUUUCUAUGGCAGGGCUACCUGUAUGGAAAGUGGAAGUUGAAAGAAGAGUAG
rnacentral:lncRNA from 1 species